CCACGAUCGCCUGCACCUGUAUCAGGACGAAGGGGGUCAGUGAGCUGUAUCGGACCACUAUGAUCCCGAACAGCAGGAGACAGUUAGCUGUCGUUAAAAAAGAAAGGAAUCGUGAGUGUUCUGGAAUGACGAUUCCCGCGUCAUCUCCAAGAGUCGGAGAUGUUUGACGACAGGAUGAGUUACUCGAUUCGAUUAACGCGUGCGAGUUCGUCAGUGUAAUGGAUUGGCAAACGAGAUGCGUUGUUACGGAAGAAAAAGAGAAAAGAAAAGAAAAACCAGAGAGAUGGAAAAAAUUCGAGGAUCGUGGAACGCGCGUGUCGAUGACACCGAUAGAGAGGAACAAACAGACGAAGGAACUCCGGGGAUUGUCUGACAAACCAGAGGUGUUUCUCGUCUUCGCGAUUCCGUCACUUACCACUCCAAGUGUCUCCCUCUUGUUCAACCGCAGCUCCCUUAGCAUCUGGUUCCUCUGCU